AGUGAACGCUGGCGGUAGGCCUAACACAUGCAAGUCGAACGGCAGCACAGUAAGAGCUUGCUCUUACGGGUGGCGAGUGGCGGACGGGUGAGGAAUACAUCGGAAUCUACUUUUUCGUGGGGGAUAACGUAGGGAAACUUACGCUAAUACCGCAUACGACCUACGGGUGAAAGCAGGGGAUCUUCGGACCUUGCGCGAUUGAAUGAGCCGAUGUCGGAUUAGCUAGUUGGCGGGGUAAAGGCCCACCAAGGCGACGAUCCGUAGCUGGUCUGAGAGGAUGAUCAGCCACAGUGGAGAGGAGACGCGGCCCAGCCUCCUACGGGAGGGAGCAGGGGGAAAUAUUGAACAAGGGGCGAAGCCUUGACCCACCCAUACUGCGGGGGUGAAGAGGGCUUUCGGGUUGAAAGCCCUUUUUGUGGGAAAAAAAAAGCAGCAGGUUAAUACCCCGCUGUUCUGAGGGUACCAAAAAAAAAAGCCCCGGCUAACUUCGUC
rnacentral:rRNA from 1 species